UUAAUAAUUUUAUAGGGCUCAGACAACAUAAUAAAGAGUUUGUGGAUUCUCUGGCAAGCACUGACCAGCCUAAGCCAGUGGCCGUUAGACGGGCCUGCCAAAGCAACAAUGGUGUGUGUAAACAAUGGGUGGGAGAUAUACCCAUAAAGGGCAUGUUCUCGGUAAUGAUCCUUCCGCAGGUUCACCUACGGAAA
rnacentral:misc_RNA from 1 species